AACCUAGCACACCUGCGGUGUGUACCUGCGGAAGGAUCAUUACCGAGUUUACAACUCCCAAACCCCUGUGAACAUACCUAUACGUUGCCUCGGCGGAUCAGCCCGCGCCCUGUAAAACGGGACGGCCCGCCCGAGGACCCCUAAACUCUGUUUUUAGUGGAACUUCUGAGUAAAACAAACAAAUAAAUCAAAACUUUUAACAAUGGAUCU
rnacentral:misc_RNA from 1 species